rnacentral:tRNA from 2 species
AGAAACUUAGGUUAACAUCAAACCAAGAGCCUUCAAAGCCCUUAACAGAGGAUAAAACCUCUAGUCUCUG